GUCUCAGAAGCAUAGUGAUUAGUGCACAGCCCAGGAUAAGUUGAGACGCAGGUUCGAAUCCCGCCUGAGAUG
rnacentral:tRNA from 1 species